CCCUUAGAUGUCCUGGGCCGCACGCGCGCUACACUGAGUGUCUGAGAUACGAGUCUGCCUGGUCCGGCAAGGUCUAGGUAAUCGCUAAAAGACACAUCAUGCUUGGGAUAGAUUAUUGCAAAUAUUAAUCUUGAACGAGGAAUUCCUAGUAAGCGCAAGUCAACAGCUUGCGUUGAUUACGUCCCUGCCCUUUGUACACACCGCCCGUCGCUACUACUGAUUGGAUGUUUAAGCGAGGUUCUCGAACUGCUAGCGACUUAGCUUCGGUGAGGUCGCAGUGUGGGAAGUGAACCUAGCUUUGGUGUCUAGAGGAAGUAAAAGGCGUAACA
rnacentral:rRNA from 1 species